rnacentral:rRNA from 1 species
GUUCCUGGCUCAGGACGAACGCUGGCGGCGUGCCUAAUACAUGCAAGUAGAACGCUGAAGGAGGAGCUUGCUUCUCUGGAUGAGUUGCGAACGGGUGAGUAACGCGUAGGUAACCUGCCUGGUAGCGGGGGAUAACUAUUGGAAACGAUAGCUAAUACCGCAUAACAGCAGUUGUUGCAUGACAACUGUUUAAAAGGUGCAAUUGCAUCACUACCAGAUGGACCUGCGUUGUAUUAG